rnacentral:ncRNA from 3 species
UAACGUUCUCAGGGCGGGGUGUAAUUCCCCACCGGCGGUAAUGGCUGCACAGCCUAGCCCGCGAGCGCUUGCCCGGUGGCGUAAACCGCUUGGCAAGGUCAGCAGACCCGGUGUGAUUCCGGGGCCGACGGUUAAAGUCCGGAUAAAGAGAGAGCGGGA